AGUGAACGCUGGCGGCAGGCCUAACACAUGCAAGUCGAGCGGAUGAAGGGAGCUUGCUCCUGGAUUCAGCGGCGGACGGGUGAGUAAUGCCUAGGAAUCUGCCUGGUAGUGGGGGAUAACGUCCGGAAACGGGCGCUAAUACCGCAUACGUCCUGAGGGAGAAAGUGGGGGAUCUUCGGACCUCACGCUAUCAGAUGAGCCUAGGUCGGAUUAGCUAGUUGGUGGGGUAAAGGCCUACCAAGGCGACGAUCCGUAACUGGUCUGAGAGGAUGAUCAGUCACACUGGAACUGAGACACGGUCCAGACUCCUACGGGAGGCAGCAGUGGGGAAUAUUGGACAAUGGGCGAAAGCCUGAUCCAGCCAUGCCGCGUGUGUGAAGAAGGUCUUCGGAUUGUAAAGCACUUUAAGUUGGGAGGAAGGGCAGUAAGUUAAUACCUUGCUGUUUUGACGUUACCCACAGAAUAAGCACCGGCUAACUUCGUG
rnacentral:rRNA from 1 species